AGAACGAACGCUGGCGGCAGGCUUAACACAUGCAAGUCGAACGGGUGCGAGCAAUCGCAUCAGUGGCAGACGGGUGAGUAACACGUGGGAACCUUCCUAGGGGUACGGAACAACUCAGGGAAACUUGAGCUAAUACCGUAUACGUCCGUGAGGAGAAAGAUUCAUCGCCCCUAGACGGGCCCGCGUCGGAUUAGGUAGUUGGUGGGGUAACGCCUACCAAGCCUACGAUCCGUAGCUGAUCUGAGAGGAUGAUCAGCCACACUGGGACUGAGACACGGCCCAGACUCCUACGGAGGCAGCAGUGGGGAAUCUUGGACAAUGGGGAAACCCUGAUCAGCCAUGCCGCGUGAGUGAAGAAGGCCUGGUUGUAAAGCUCUUUGCCAGGGACGAUAAUGACGGUACCUGGAGAAUAAGCCCGCAAACUUCGUGCCAGCAGCCGC
rnacentral:rRNA from 1 species